UCCACUGAUGUACCUUGCCACU
rnacentral:siRNA from 1 species